GAGGAAUAUUGGUCAAUGGGCGCAAGCCUGAACCAGCCAUGCCGCGUGCAGGAAGACGGUCCUAUGGAUUGUAAACUGCUUUUAUACAGGAAGAAACACCUCCACGUGUGGAGGCUUGACGGUACUGUAGGAAUAAGGAUCGGCUAACUCCGUGCCAGCAGCCGCGGUAAUACGGAGGAUCCAAGCGUUAUCCGGAAUCAUUGGGUUUAAAGGGUCCGUAGGCGGUCUUAUAAGUCAGUGGUGAAAGCCCAUCGCUCAACGAUGGAACUGCCAUUGAUACUGUAAGACUUGAAUGCUUGUGAAGUAACUAGAAUAUGUAGUGUAGCGGUGAAAUGCUUAGAUAUUACAUGGAAUACCAAUUGCGAAGGCAGGUUACUAACAAGUUAUUGACGCUGAUGGACGAAAGCGUGGGGAGCGAAC
rnacentral:rRNA from 1 species